CCUUGCUGGACAGUGAAGCAAGUCGAACUUUGGUAUGCACGGCAGCUGAAUCCAGCAUUGGUGAUGUGGGCGAUGCAGCGGUGACAUUACAAGUAGAUGUCAACAACACUUCCAAUGGGGUGGCCCUGUCACUGCCGAACUCGGAACAUUCGACAGGCAAAGAAGAUCCUCAAGCACCUGGCUGGACCAAGAGAGUACGUGUCAGGCAUGCACCUGUUGAACGUCCACCGUGUGCUGGCAGAAUCAGUGCCCUAGAAAAAACAUUGAGAAGAUAUGCAGAGAAAAAGACUGGCACAGUCGUAGUUCCAGCAAUAGGUAGCAACUUUGAUUCACUUGGAGAAGCAUAUGAUUACUACAAUCUCUACUCCUAGGAGAUUGGAUUUGGAAUAAGGUAUGGCAAGAGCAGGCUUAAUGUGGAAUGGAAAGAACAAAAUGCAUGCAGGAGAUAGUCUGUGGCUGCUCUAUAAAUACACCACUAGAGUUCCAUGCUAGCAAAAUCUACACUAGGGCGAUGUUUGAUAAAUUUGGCGAGAUCAUGUAUGAAACAAGACAAUACUGGAGUUUCUUAGAUCGACAAUGGAUAAACUGACCCCUUUAGCUUCUGAGCAUGACGGUCUGGGUUUAGAGCAGGAUUGAGUUCAACAAGCCAAAAGGUACAGAAUUGAGUGUGUUCCUGAACCGCAAAAGUAUACGGGAGUGAUGCUGAAGGUAGCGCAGUUGGAAUUUUCAUUGGUUUAGUAGCUCCGGAACGCAAACGGAAGGCCGGUUGACUAACAGCAGCAGAGACAAGCCUCCAUAUGAUGAUCACGGUGCAAAGAGCAAAAAAAGGCAAGCCAAAAAGGAGUAACACACAGUCUUGUCGCUGCGAGUGCCCUGCAAUGAUACGGUUCCUGCGGUCGAACGACAACGCCUGGCACAUAAGCGAGCACAGGCCAUCGCACCACAGUUUCUUCGGUUCAACGAGCAAUGCGCCUUUCAGCAAAAGGGCCUUGAGGGGACUGUGUGGGGAAAUCAUCAGAGAUUAGCUUCAGUUUGUUCAACAAAAUAUAUCAUCUUGUGUUAUUUGAGACAAUUAGUACCAUCUGAUGGUGGCUACGUGUGUUCCUCGAUAUUACUGAACCUUCUAGUUGC